rnacentral:rRNA from 1 species
UACAGAGGGUGCAAGCGUUGUUCGGAAUUACUGGGCGUAAAGGGCGCGUAGGCGGCCGACUAAGUCAGACGUGAAAUCCCCCGGCUCAACCGGGGAACUGCGUCUGAUACUGGUUGGCUCGAGUUUGGGAGAGGGAUGCGGAAUUCCAGGUGUAGCGGUGAAAUGCGUAGAUAUCUGGAGGAACACCGGUGGCGAAGGCGGCAUCCUGGACCAACACUGACGCUGAGGAGCGAAAGCGUGGGGAGCGAACAGG